CUCAGCUGUGAGUAAACACCAUCAAGGACGUGCCUUAGCGAGAAGAUCCAAAACAGCAGAACAGCAGCGCGGCUCGGGUCUGUCCCUCCGCGCCGGCUACUUCGGGCCGGCGGGGGCAGCUCCGGAGGUGGCAGGAGCCCCCACUAGAAAGUGGCUGAGAAGGGUUCUGAAGUAUGCAGUCUCCCGGGAAAACAGGACAAGCCAAAAGGCCAGCUUCGCGGGAAGCCGAACACACGGAACUCCCAGCAGCCCCCGAGCUGCGCUGAGUCCAGGAGGCCGUCAGGAGGGGGCAGGUGCAGCGUGCCCCCCCCCCACCUGCCAGCCACACGGCGCCAGGCAACGCCAGUGCCCAAGGAGCAGCAGAAACAGCCGGAUCCAGCGGGCGCUCGCAGGGGCGAGUCCGGGAGGGCGUGGGGCUGGAGUGCUCCAUGCAUGGAAUUCUACCGCCAGCAGUGUU